GGAGGAGAAAAUGGCAACCCACAUCAAUAUUCUUGCCAGGAGAACCCCAUGAACAGUAUGAAAGGUAAAAAGAUAUGACACCAGAAGAUGAACCGCCCAGGCCAGAAGGUGUCAAAUGCUACUGGGGAAGAGCAGAAGGCAAUUACUAAUAGUUCCAAAAAGACUGGAGUGGCUGGGCCAAAGUGGAAAUGACGCUCAGAUGUGGUUAUGUCUGGUGAUGAAAGUAAAGUCUGAUGCUAUAAAGAACAUUGUAUAGGAACCUGAAAUGUUAGGUCCAUGAAUUAAGGUAAAUCGGACAUGGUUAAGGAGAGGGCGAGAGUGAACACUGACGUUUUAGGAAUCAGUGAACUAAAAUGGAUGGGAAUGGGUGAAUUUAAUUCAGACGACUACUCUAUCUACUAUUGUGGGUAAAAAUCCCUUAGAAGAAAUGGAGUAGUCCUCAUAGUCUACAAAAGAGUCUGAAAUGCAGUACUUGGGUGUAACUUCAAAAGUAACAGAAUGACUUCGGUUCACCUCCAAGGCAAACCAUUCAGUAUCACAGUAAUCCAAGUCUAUGUCCCAACCACUGAUUCCAAAGAAACUGAAAUUGACCAGUUCUGUGAAGAGUUACAACACCUAGGACUAACACCAAAAAAAGAUGUCCUUUCAUCAUAGGGGAUUAGGAACACAAAAGUAGGAAGUCAAGGGAUACCCAGAAUAACAGGCAAGUUUGGCUUUGGAGCACAAAAUGAAGCAGGGUAGAGGCUAACAGAGUUUUAUCAAGAGAACACACUGGUCAUAGCAAACACCUAUUUCCAACAACCCAAGAGAUGACUCUAUACGUGGACAUCACCAGAUUGUCAAUACCUAAAUCAAAUUAUGCUCUUUGUGGCUGAAGAUGGAGAAGCUAUAUACAGUUAGCAAAAACAAGAGCUGGAGCUAACUGUGGCCCAGAUCAUGAGCUUCUUAUCGCAAGAUUUAGUCUUAAACAGAAAAAGUAGGGGAAACCACUAGGCUGUUCAGGUAUGACCUAAAUUAAAUCCUCUAUGAUUAUACAGUAGAGGUGAUGAGUAGAUUCAAGGGAUUAGAUCUGGUAGACAGAGUGCCUGAAGAACUAUGGAGGGAGGUUCAUAAUACUGUACAGAGGCAGUGACCAAAACCAUCCCAAAGAAAAUGAAAUGCAAGAAGGCAAAGUGGCUUUCUGAGGAGGCUUUACAAACAGCUGAGGAAAGAAGAGAAGCAAAAAGCAAGGGAGAAAAGGAAAGAUAUACCUAUUUGAAUGCAGAGUUCCACAGAAUAGCAAAGAGAGAUAAGAAGGCCUAUUUCAAUGAACAAUGCAAAGAAAUAGAGGAAAACAAUAGAAUCAGCAAGAUUAGUGGUAUCUCCAAGAAAACUGGAAAUAUCAAGGAAACAUUUCAUGCAAGGAUGGGCACCAAAAAGGACAGAAAAGGCAAAAAUCUAACAGAAGCAGAAGAGAUUAAGAAGAGGUGGCAAGGAUACACAGAAGAGCUAUACAAAAAAAGUUUUAAUGAUCUGGAUAACCACUAUGAUAUGGUCACUCACCUAGAGCCAGAUAUCCUGGAGUGUGUAGUCAAGUGGCCCUUAGGAACAUUACUAAGAACAAAGCUAGUAGAGGUGAUGAAUUCCAGCUGAACUAUUUCAGAUCUUAAAAGAUGAUGCUGUUUAAGUGCUGCACUCAAUAUGUCAGCAAAUCUGGAAAAAAACAGCAGUGGGCACAGGACUGGAAAAUGUUAGUUUUCAUUCCAAUCUCAAAGAAGGGCAAUGCCAAAGAAUGUUCAAACUACCAUACAAGUGUGUUCAUUUCACAUGCUAGCAAGGUAAUGCUCAUAAGCCUUCAAGCUAGGCUUCAGCAGUACAUGAACAGGGAACUGGCAGAUGUACAAGCUGGUUAGAAAAGGCAGAGGAACCAGAAGUCAAAUUGCUAACAUUCACUGGAUCAUGGACAAAGCAAGAGAGUUUUAGAAAAACAUCUCUUUUUGCUUCAUUGACCACGCUAAACUUGACCAUGCAGAUCACAACAUUUUGUUAAAAAUUCUUAAAGAAAUGGGAAUACCAGACCAAUUUACCUGUCUCCUGAGAAACUUAUAUGUGUUAAGAAGCAACAAUUAGAACCAGACAUGGAACAACUGACUGGUUCAAAAUUGGGAAAGGAACACUGCAAGGCUGUAAAUUGUUACCCUGCUUAUUGAUGUUAUAUGCAGAGUACAUUGUGCAAAAUGCUGGCCUAGAUGAAUCAAAAGCUGGAAUCAAGAUUGCUGGGAGAAAUAUCAACAAUCUCAGAUAUGCAGGUAAUACCACUCUAAGAGCAGAAAGUGAAGAGAAACCAUAGCACCUCUUGAUGAGGGUGAAAGAGGAGAGAGAAAAAGCUGGCUUGAAACUCAACAUUUAAAAAAAAAAAAACAAAACUAAGAUCACAUGCAUCUGGCCCUAAUACUUUAUGGCAAAUAGAAGGGGAAAACAUGGAAGCAGUGACAGAUUUUAUUUUCUUGGGCUCCAGAAUCACUGCGGACAGUGACUGAAGCCAUGAAAUUAAGAGACACUUGCUCCUUGGAAGGAAAGUUAUGACAAACCUAGACAGCAUAUUAAAAAGCAGAGAUAUCACUUUGCUGACAUAGGUCCAUAUAACCUAAGCUAUGAAUCUUAAUCUGAGAGUUGGAUCAUAAGGAAGGCUGAGCGACAAGGAAUAGAUGCUUUCUAAUUGUGCUGGAGAAGAGUCUUGAGAGUCCCUUGAACUGCAAGGAUAUCAAACCAGUUGAUCCUAAAGAAAAUCAACCGUGAGUAUUCAUUGGAAGGACUGAUGCUGAAGGUGAAGGUUCAAUAGUCUGGCCACCUGAUGUGAAGAGCCAGCUCACUGGAAAGGACCCUGUUACUGGGAAAUACUGAGGGCAGGAGGAGAAGGGGGUGACAGAAGAUGAGAUGUUAGCAUCAAAGACUCAACAGACAUGAAUUUGAGCAAAGUCAAGGAGAUAGUGGAGGACAGAGGAGCCUGGGGUGCUGCAGUUGAUGGGGUCUGAAAGAGUUGGACUGGACUUAGAAACUGAACAACAAUGAUCAUCUGAUCAAAACUUCUGUUAAAUCUGAACAACCUCUCAUGAUAUUUACACAGACAUUUAGAGUUGUUUGAUGCAGGAACCUGGACUUUUGUGACUGAAAACAAGAAAAGAGGUUCAGAGACUGCAAACCAUGGAGGGUGUUGUCGGGCCAACUCUCAUGUAAGUACAAAAGAAUCCAAUUCAUGCUGAAGAACGAAGCUGAAGAUUCAAAAUUCAGAGAAGUGGAUCAGUAGAAACAUGAAACAGAAGUGGAUUUAUAGGAAUCCAGAGUGUAGGGAUUUGACCCUAGAAGUCUGAGAAGGGUUUAGGGGCAGCGUCAGGAGUGGAGAGGGCAGAGGUGGCGCUCAAAGUAGAGUAGAUGCUGGUUUGGGGCAAUCCAUAUGAUCAUGAGCUCUUCUUGACUGGCUUGGCUCACUUUAUUGUCCAAAGAUAAGUUCAUAAAAUAAUGGAAAUGUCAGGAGUAUAAGUAAACAUAAUAAUCGUCUCAUCUGACUUUGUAAAUUCUAACUCUCUUUUUUUAUAAUUGUAAAUUUUAUUACGCAUCCUGAGUGAGUAACCAUUUUACAUGGCUAUACCCAUGCUGGUGUUGGAGUUAAGAGCAGCAGCUCUAAGGACUCCGUACUUCUGGUCCAGAAUUCUUCCUAUGCACCACAUCCCAAGUGAAUUAGUCAUUUCCUUUUUCUUCCCUUUCUUCUUUUUAAAGUUUAUUUCUUUUUUCCAACUUGCCUCAUUUAUUCCCACUCUAACUCAAAACUGAAAUAGAAGUGACAAAAUGUCACACCCAAAAUGACAAAAUGUCUCAGAGGGGGGUCACAGCAAAGCAUGUGUGUUUCAUAAAGUUUCAAGCUGAUUCUCAGCAUAUGGGUUUAAAGCUGUGAACCAACCUUGAACCUUGGGAACUGUGAGUUGACAAGAUGGGACUAAUAAGUAAAAGGGGGAAAAAAAUGCUCAGAAAACUUGUUGCAUGUCAGUUUUCUUUUUAAAAAGAACAUUUUGGUGAGUUAAGUGUAAAUGACUCAGAAACACAAGGAUUUUAUUUCCUUUGCCAUAUGCAUGGGUUUAAAAAUUAAUGGAAAAAAGUGCUCUGCACAACAUGUUUUGAAUUUUAUUGGUCUCUCUCUUUUUUCUAUGAUCUCUAGAAGAUGGAAGCUGAAGAAUGAAAACAAUUGAAUCAAAAGUUUUAAAGC
ensembl:lncRNA